GCGGACGUAGCUCAACGGUAGAGUUCCGGCCUUCCACGCCGGCGAUGAUCGGGUUCGAAUCCCGCCGUCCGCU
rnacentral:tRNA from 1 species